rnacentral:rRNA from 1 species
UAGAGUUUGAUCAUGGCUCAGGACGAACGCUGGCGGCGUGCCUAACACAUGCAAGUCGAGCGAAGUAUAUCUAAGUGAAGUUUUCGGACAGAACGAAGAUAUAUCUUAGCGGCGGACGGGUGAGUAACGCGUGAGCAACCUGCCUUUCACAAAGGGAUAGCCUCGGGAAACUGGGAUUAAUACCAUAUAAAACUUACCUUUCGCAUGAAAGGAAAGUCAAAGCGAUAAGCGGUGAAAGAUGGGCUCGCGUCCUAUUAGCUAGUUGGUGAGGUAACGGCUCACCAAGGCGACGAUAGGUAGCCGGCCUGAGAGGGUGAACGGCCACACUGGAACUGAGACACGGUCCAGACUCCUACGGGAGGCAGCAGUGGGGGAUAUUGCACAAUGGAGGAAACUCUGAUGCAGCGACGCCGCGUGAGUGAAGAAGGCCUUCGGGUCGUAAAGCUCUGUCCUAGGGGAAGAUAAUGACGGUACCCUAGGAGGAAGCCCCGGCUAACUACGUGCCAGCCGCCGCGGUAAUUCA